CAAAGUCUACAAAGCCAGAAAACACAAUUCAAGGUCCACAAAGGCCAGGAAGCAAACAGUUGUUCCUGACAAACAGCUUUCCCCCUUCCUCUGCCUAAUCUCAUGAGAAGAGACAAAGAAAUGAAGAGAUCAAUGAAAAGAAAUAAACCUUCUAUGAAAUUAUUUGAAAGGACUAAAGAAAAACAGUACAGAUCCUAGAAGAACCCUCUCUGGCACACAUACUGUGACUUUUGAAGUGGAUGGCUGGUGUUUGAACUAAAAAUAUAUAUAUUUUGGAGAUGAGUGAUCUUGCACAAGAUGUUAUUUAUAAUCUUAGCCAACCAACUUAAAAUUUGAGCAAGUAAUUUUUACAAAUACACAAAAACCACUUAUGGUAAAAAAUAAAUGUUUUUAAUUCUGUAAACAAAUAAUACCAUUUGAAAGUGACUAAACGUUUACUCAAAAUACAUAUAGCUGUCAAAAUAAACAAAGUAACAAAAGUGCCAAACAAUAAAAGGCACAACAUUCAAUAACACAAUAGUUUCUAGGCACAAAUUGUUGUUACAUUUAGCUAAUAUAGCUUACUGAGGGAUUUGUCUUGUAAAAAUAAUUGGAAGAGUCCAAAUGAAAUGCUUGUUAAAGGGGUUCUGAAUGAAAAAAAUUAAAUAUAUUUUCAUUUAAAUCAUAGCAACCAUUUGAAAAAUAGCCCUUUUGCUUUUACCUGGAAUCCUCUUCUUCCAAAUACCCAGUAUGUAAAUGGAUUACAG